UACGUAGGGGGCAAGCGUUGUCCGGAAUCAUUGGGCGUAAAGAGCGUGUAGGCGGCCCGAUAAGUCCGCUGUGAAAGUCCAGGGCUCAACCCUGGAAUGUCGGUGGAUACUGUCGGGCUCGAAUCCGGAAGAGGUGAGUGGAAUUCCUGGUGUAGCGGUGAAAUGCGCAGAUAUCAGGAGGAACACCAAUGGCGAAGGCAGCUCACUGGGACGGUAUUGACGCUGAGACGCGAAAGCGUGGGGAGCAAACAGG
rnacentral:rRNA from 1 species